rnacentral:tRNA from 1 species
GGCCUCGUAGCUCAGCUGGUAGAGUGUGCGCUGUACAAAAGGCGUAGGCGGCGCCCAUGCGCGGGUUCAAACCCCACCGAGGCUA